rnacentral:tRNA from 1 species
GGAGAGGUGGCUGAGUGGCUGAAAGCGACGGUUUGCUAAACCGUUAUACGGGGUCAUGCCCGUAUCCCGGGUUCGAAUCCCGGCCUCUCCG